GGGUUUUUAAUGACAAUCAGUUAAAAUCUGUCACAUAAACUAUCUGAAUCAAUUGAAAUAGACACUUAAGUGUUUAAAAAGUGUCCAAAAUCUUUCAUUAGAAGAACCUGAAAUUUGAGGCCAAAAUCAGCCCCUACCGGACCUUCUCCUUUCAUACCCAUAUGAAAGGGAAUGUGAGAAAGAGACAACAACCAGACCAAAGGGUAAAAACAUUUCAAGGCUACCAAAGGGUCUUCAACACAUCGAGAAAAUUCUGCACCUGGAGGCAGGCUUAAGGUGACUGCUUCCUUCAUUUACAACAACCAGGG
rnacentral:lncRNA from 1 species